GCUCCGGUGGCCUAGUAGUUAGAGAGUUCGCCUCGGAUGUGGGAGGUCGUGGUUUCGAUCUCCAAUCGAGACA